rnacentral:misc_RNA from 1 species
CAGAGUAGUUGGGUGUGGGGGGGAUGGGGAGUUGGAAGGGGAAUAGGAAGGGGGAUAGAUUGGUUGUACAUGGAAGAGAUUCCUGAGGAUCAAUUUAUUUUCAGUUCUUUCUUUUCUUCUUCCAUCCAUCCUCCACACACACAUACAUUUGCCGUGGGCACUGUGUCUUUAUGUAUGACUGAAUGAUUUUAUUUGUUUAAA